rnacentral:rRNA from 1 species
AUUGAACGCUGGCGGCAGGCCUAACACAUGCAAGUCGAGCGGAUGAAGGGAGCUUGCUCCUGGAUUCAGCGGCGGACGGGCGAGUAAUGCCUAGGAAUCUGCCUGGUAGUGGGGGAUAACGUCCGGAAACGGGCGCUAAUACCCCAUACGUCCUGAGGGAGAAAGUGGGGGAUCUUCGGACCUCACGCUAUCAGAUGAGCCUAGGUCGGAUUAGCUAGUUGGUGGGGUAAAGGCCUACCAAGGCGACGAUCCGUAACUGGUCUGAGAGGAUGAUCAGUCACACUGGAACUGAGACACGGUCCAGACUCCUACGGGAGGCAGCAGUGGGGAAUAUUGGACAAUGGGCGAAAGCCUGAUCCAGCCAUGCCGCGUGUGUGAAGAAGGUCUUCGGAUUGUAAAGCACUUUAAGUUGGGAGGAAGGGCAGUAAGUUAAUACCUUGCUGUUUUGACGUUACCAACAGAAUAAGCACCGGCUAACUUCGUG